CAUGGGAUAGCAAACAAAGUAAGUCCUCCUGCUAACAGAUGGCAUCAACUUGCCACGUUAAUUUCUGCUAGAGCUCUAGCAUUGAAGGAUCCAAGGCCAGAACAUCUCCUACAUAUUCCUUGCUAUUUGAAUGAAGGAAUGAUGGCCUGUGGUUAGUAGAAGUGAAUGAGUACAGAGGAAACAGAAGAUGAGGAACUAACAAGAGUCCUUCCAGCACAGACCCUGGGUGCAGCCAGCCAUCCCAGAGGCAAGAGCCAACCUGUUACCUGUUUACAUGGAUCAAUAAAUCCUC
rnacentral:lncRNA from 10 species